GGGCUUUUAGUUUCUGGUCCAAGCGCCUAUAUUGGUCGGGCUCGCGGGGCUUGCCCCACGGCUAUGGUGAUAAACGUUGGUGUAAAAUAGACGCAGCGGACCCGGGGGCGGUACCCGGCGGCUCCACCACCAACCGUCUUUUUAGGCGGCUGAUGACGGGGCCGAACUAGGAUCGACGUGUGUUGAAAGGCACUGGCUUUUGCUCGGAAUGGGACCACCGUGACGGCCCGUACACAAGUGCCAACGAUAACGAAGCACUCGCGAUUGCCGCGUAACUGACGGCCUAACGGCCUAGGUUAUUCGAACAAAAGCGCGGUUGGGCCGCACCGGGCAACAGAAGCGGAUUCCAGCGGUACGGGGGGCACCGGGCAACAGAAGCCCCCCACU
rnacentral:tmRNA from 1 species